rnacentral:tRNA from 1 species
AUUUAUAUAGUAUAAAUAAUAUUGAUAACUUCCAAUUAUCAGAUCUAAGAUUAGUAUAAAUA